rnacentral:rRNA from 1 species
UAAGCACUUAAGGUGCGGAGCCGUAGCGAAAGCGAGUUUUAACUGAGCGUUCAGUUACUGGACGUAGACCCGAAACCGGGCGACCUACCCAUGAGCAGGAUGAAGCGAAAGUAAAAUUUCGUGGAGGGCCGAACCCACGAGCGUUGAAAAGCGCGGGGAUGACUUGUGGGUAGCGGUGAAAUUCCAAUCGAGCCCGGAGAUAGCUGGUUCUCCCCGAAAUAGCUUUAGGGCUAGCCUCAAGGUGAGAGAUACGGAGGUAGAGCACUGAAUGUCCUAGGGG